CACGUAGGGUGCGAGCGUUGUCCGGAUUUAUUGGGCGUAAAGGGCCCGUAGGCGGUUUGGUAAGUCGGGUGUGAAAACUCCGGGCUCAACUCGGAGAGGCCACCCGAUACUGCUAUGACUUGAGUCUGGUAGGGGAGUGCGGAAUUCCUGGUGUAGCGGUGAAAUGCGCAGAUAUCAGGAGGAACACCGGUGGCGAAGGCGGCACUCUGGGCCAGUACUGACGCUGAUGGGCGAAAGCGUGGGGA
rnacentral:rRNA from 1 species